rnacentral:piRNA from 1 species
UGUCAUUGUUGUUUAUAUGGGGUUGC